rnacentral:rRNA from 1 species
AUGCAAGUCGAACGCGUAAAGUCCCCUUCGGGGGGCGAGUAGAGUGGCGCACGGNCUGUAGUAACACGUAGGUAAUCUACCUUCGGAUGGGGAAUAACAAUCGGAAACGGUUGCUAAUACCGCAUAAUGCAGCGGCACCUAAUGGUGACAGUUGUUAAAGCGGGGGAUCGAAAGACCUCGCGUCUGAAGAGGAGCCUGCGGCGGAUUAGCUUGUUGGUAAGGUGACGGCUUACCAAGGCGACGAUCCGUAGCCGGCCUGAGAGGGCGGUCGGCCACACUGACACUGACAUACGGGUCAGACUCCUACGGGAGGCAGCAGUCGGGAAUUUUGGGCAAUGGGCGAAAGCCUGACCCAGCAACGCCGCGUGAAGGAUGAAAUCCCUCGGGAUGUAAACUUCGCAAGAACGGGAAGAAUAAGCGAGAGUUAAUAUCUUUCGUGAUGACGGUACCGUUUGUAAGCUCCGGCUAACUCCGUGCCAGCAGCCGCGGUAAUACGGGGGGAGCAAGCGUUGUUCGGAUUUACUGGGCGUAAAGGGCGCGUAGGCGGCCAGCGCAAGUCAGUUGUGAAAUCUCCGAGCUUAACUCGGAAAGGUCAACUGAUACUGCGCGGCUAGAGUGCGGAAGGGGCAACUGGAAUUCUUGGUGUAGCGGUGAAAUGCGUAGAUAUCAAGAGGAACACCUGCGGCGAAGGCGGGUUGCUGGGCCGACACUGACGCUGAGGCGCGAAAGCUAGGGGAGCGAACGGGAUUAGAUACCCCGGUAGUNCCUAGCCUUAAACGAUGAAUGCUUGGUGUCUGGGGUUAUAAAGUCC